GUCGAGCGAGGUCUUCGGACCUAGCGGCGGACGGGUGAGUAACACGUGGGUAACCUGCCUGUAAGAUUGGGAUAACUCCGGGAAACCGGAGCUAAUACCGGAUAACAUUUCGAACCGCAUGGUUCGAAAUUGAAAGAUGGCUUUUAGCUAUCACUUACAGAUGGACCCGCGGCGCAUUAGCUAGUUGGUGAGGUAACGGCUCACCAAGGCAACGAUGCGUAGCCGACCUGAGAGGGUGAUCGGCCACACUGGGACUGAGACACGGCCCAGACUCCUACGGGAGGCAGCAGUAGGGAAUCUUCCGCAAUGGACGAAAGUCUGACGGAGCAACGCCGCGUGAACGAUGAAGGCCUUCGGGUCGUAAAGUUCUGUUGUUAGGGAAGAACAAGUACUAGAGUAACUGCUGGUACCUUGACGGUACCUAACCAGAAAGCCACGGCUAACUACGUGCCAGCAGCCGCGGUAAUACGUAGGUGGCAAGCGUUGUCCGGAAUUAUUGGGCGUAAAGCGCGCGCAGGUGGUUUCUUAAGUCUGAUGUGAAAGCCCACGGCUCAACCGUGGAGGGUCAUUGGAAACUGGGGAACUUGAGUGCAGAAGAGGAAAGUGGAAUUCCAAGUGUAGCGGUGAAAUGCGUAGAGAUUUGGAGGAACACCAGUGGCGAAGGCGACUUUCUGGUCUGUAACUGACACUGAGGCGCGAAAGCGUGGGGAGCGAACAGGAUUAGAUACCCUGGUAGUCCACGCCGUAUACGAUGAGUGCUAAGUGUUAGAGGGUCUCCGCUCGUUAGUGCUGCAGCAAACGCAUUACGCACUCUGCCUGGGGAGUACUGUCGCAAGACUGAAACUCAAAGGAAUUGACGGGGGCCCGCACAAGCGGGCAGCAUGUGGCUUUAAUUCGAAGCAACGCGGAGAACCUUACCAGGUCUUGACAUCCUUCGCUACGU
rnacentral:rRNA from 1 species